CCCACGACGCCAACGCCACAACCCUUGCGCCGCCGCCUCGCCGCCCGUCGCGCUGCCGCCUCGCCGCCCGUCGCGCUGCCGCCUGCGGUCGUGCCCGUCGAUCUCCCCGCCUACAGCCAGUCCUGUUCCUGCGGCGCUGCUGUUCUCCCGGCAACCUCUCGUCGCUCCCCCUGCGCUGAGGAGCGCCGGUCCCCGGCUCCUCCUCGCCAGCGUCGCCGCCCAUCGCGACAUCGUCGACACCGUUAUAAGGAGAACUCAUGUCCAGGGCACGUAAUGCUUUAGUUGCCACUGGCUUGCUGAUCUUUGCUGGUGCUGGCUUAUCAUUUCCAUUCCUUUUCGUGAAAUCAAAGAACAGGCCUAUCAUUGAUUCAACAAAACCCCUGCCACCACAGGCUACAUUCCGAGGGCCAUAUGUGAAUACUGGAUCACGCGAUAUCGGACCUGAUCCCACCAACUAUCCAAAGAAGUGAUGUAUUCUUUCCUGAUAAUUGAGACACCAUUCCUCCUCUCUUUGGGCAGACCACAAAAGUGUACAACUCUGAAAUAGUGCCGCAUAAAGAAUUACCUGGUAUUCUGUGCGUCUUUAUCAUGGUUGGGCCUUUGGACAUCUAAUUUUGCAUUUACCUUGACAAUGAAUUUUUUUCAGUAUCUCCUAUAUAAAGAAGGAUGGAUAUUGAAUACUUUUUAUAGUGUAUUCAGAUAAUAAAAAGUAAACAACUUAGUGAAAGCAGAACUCUGUAAAUAAUAUAAAUAAAAAAAACCCUGUGGGAGAUUGUCUUA